CAUAUCACUUUGUAAUACCGGUUCCCGUACGAUCGCCAAAGUUAAGCAACUUCGCGUCUGGUCAGUACCUAGCUGGUGACCUUUUGGGAAUACAAGAUACUGUAA